UACGAAGGGUGCAAGCGUUGCUCGGAAUUAUUGGGCGUAAAGCGCACGUAGGCGGCUUGGCAAGUCGGAUGUGAAAUCCCUCGGCUCAACCAAGGAAGUGCAUCCGAAACUGCUAAGCUUGAGUACUUAAGAGGAUCGCGGAAUUCCCGGUGUAGAGGUGAAAUUCGUAGAUAUCGGGAGGAACACCAGUGGCGAAGGCGGCGAUCUGGGAAGAUACUGACGCGGAGGUGCGAAAGCGUGGGAGCAAACAGG
rnacentral:rRNA from 1 species